rnacentral:rRNA from 1 species
UGGGGAAUUUUGGACAAUGGGCGCAAGCCUGAUCCAGCAAUGCCGCGUGCAGGAUGAAGGCCUUCGGGUUGUAAACUGCUUUUGUACGGAGCGAAAAGGUCUGCCCUAAUACGGUGGGCUCAUGACGGUACCGUAAGAAUAAGCACCGGCUAACUACGUGCCAGCAGCCGCGGUAAUACGUAGGGUGCGAGCGUUAAUCGGAAUUACUGGGCGUAAAGCGUGCGCAGGCGGUUAUAUAAGACAGAGGUGAAAUCCCCGGGCUCAACCUGGGAACUGCCUUUGUGACUGCAUAGCUAGAGUACGGUAGAGGGGGAUGGAAUCCCGCGUGUAGCAGUGAAAUGCGUAGAUAUGCGGAGGAACACCGAUGGCGAAGGCAAUCCCCUGGACCUGUACUGACGCUCAUGCACGAAAGCGUGGGGAGCAAACA